rnacentral:rRNA from 1 species
AUUGAACGCUGGCGGCAGGCCUAACACAUGCAAGUCGAGCGGAUGAAGGGAGGUUGCUCCUGGAUUCAGCGGCGGACGGGUGAGUAAUGCCUAGGAAUCUGCCUGGUAGUGGGGGAUAACGUCCGGAAACGGGCGCUAAUACCGCAUACGUCCUGAGGGAGAAAGUGGGGGAUCUUCGGACCUCACGCUAUCAGAUGAGCCUAGGUCGGAUUAGCUAGUUGGUGGGGUAAAGGCCUACCAAGGCGACGAUCCGUAACUGGUCUGAGAGGAUGAUCAGUCACACUGGAACUGAGACACGGUCCAGACUCCUACGGGAGGCAGCAGUGGGGAAUAUUGGACAAUGGGCGAAAGCCUGAUCCAGCCAUGCCGCGUGUGUGAAGAAGGUCUUCGGAUUGUAAAGCACUUUAAGUUGGGAGGAAGGGCAGUAAGUUAAUACCUUGCUGUUUUGACGUUACCAACAGAAUAAGCACCGGCUAACUUCGUG